rnacentral:tRNA from 1 species
UGCCCUGUAGUGUAAUGGUAGCACAACAGAUUCUGGUUCUGUUUGUCUUGGUUCAAGUCCAGGCGGGGCAG